UUUAAUGGAUUUGGCGGCAAGAUAGUCUAUUUAGAGGAACCUGCCCUGUAAACGAUGAGCCACGAAAACUUUACUUUAACUAGAGAUCAGUUUGUAUACCGCUGUUGUUAGUCUGUUUCUAUAGAAAACUUUCGGUAAUGAUAUAAUCAUUGACUUCAAGUAAAGGUGCAGCUUAUGUUAAAGAUAGAGGUGGGUUACAAUUAGAUAGAAUAAUUACGAAUGGUGAUAUAAAAAAUUACCUGAAGGUGGAUUUAAUUGUAAAAUUUAUAAUAAUUUGAUACGAGCUCUAUUUUGUGUACACAC
rnacentral:rRNA from 1 species